GUAAAAAGUGUUGUUAUGUCCAUGAUUAAAAAGGCACUUUCGGAAAAUCUUGAUCAAUGUUUCGUAUUUAAAAUGUGGUACAAAAUAAUCUAAAACACUUUCAUGUUGCAUGUGUUUGUUUAUUUGUAGGUAUAAUUUGUUCUUGUCUCUUCGCAUAUGGAUUGCUUUUAACUCAAACACGUGUUUGUGGAGACAAAAAUAAUUUGUUUAUUUAAGGAUUGAAUGCUUCUUUUUGUAAAUUUAUUUGGGUGUAAACGCGUUGACCGAAGUACAUUUUGUAUGAAGCGCGGAGGCGCUUCAUUCUAAAAAUGUACGCACGGUCAACGCUUUUACAACCCUAUAAAGUUACAAAAGAAGCAUUCAAUACUUAUAAUUACAUAUUUUAGCUAUGAUCAUGAAAACACGAAUCUUAUAUAUUUUAUUAUUUAAUUCACCUGUGCACUUUAUUGUUGGAGCACGUGUUAUCAUGAAUGAAAAGUUGUAUUGAGAAAUGCAACUGCUUACGGAAUAACACGUGAUGUGCAGUUAGCCAAUCAGAAUGAAAUAUUAUAAUGAAACAUACAUCUAAUGUAAUUAUUCCUUAUUUAAUAUAGGGAAUGUUUUUACUGUUUCAAGAUUUGUGGGGGGCUUUUUCCCUGUUAAUUUAUCUUAUAUACAUUCGAUACGCAUUGACACUUUUGAAAAAGGGAGGCAACAGAUACCCAUAUGAUAUUCGACCUUACAAAUUGAAAACAAAUUAAGAAAGUCAGGACUAAAAAACAAAAAAGGAUGAAGAGACGAACAACAAUAUACAGAAAGCUCAACAUUCAGGAACUAAAGACUUGGGUUGCUAUUAGGUGCUCCAGGCUCCAGACGAAAAAAGCAUAUUGAGGUUAAUGGAACUAUGAUAAAGAUUAUUAUAUACCUUUGAUACCCAGCCGACGCACCUUUUAUAGUUUUUUUUCGUUUUUCGUAUUCACUACCUAAUCGAUUAACAAAUUGUAAAGAAACUAAGGUUUCAAUUCCCUCAAUGAAAGUUGGUCUCAGAUGAAUGUUGGCGAUCUAAUAUGUCUUUCGUAGUUAUAUAUAACUCUUCAACUGUUCAUCCUUGACUUCAAAUAUUCGGCUUUGAGAGUUCCUGAUGAAGGUUAAUCCAGAAAAGCGCCUAGGAUGCAUGACGUUUUUUUUUUAUUUGAACAUGGACAAACUACUGCUGCCUAGUUUAUUAUAUACCCAAAGUGAACGCUUUUACACGACAUGAUGCCAUUCAUUAACAAAAAAGUAAAAUCACAAAAAUACUGAACUCGGAGGAAAAUUAAAAACAGAAAGUCCCUAGCCAAACAACAAAAUAUAGAACUAAUAGUUAUCAAAGGUAUUAGGAUUAUAAUUUAAUACGCCAGAAGCGCGUUUCGUCUACAUAAGACUCGUCAGUGACGCUCAGAUCAAAAUAGUUAUAAAGCCAAACAAGUACAAAGUUGAAGAGCAUUGAAGACCCAAAAUUCCAAAAAGUUGUGUCAAAUACGGCUAAGGUAAUCUAUUCUAAUACUAAAACACAUCAAACGAAUGAAUAAAAACUGCCAUAUUCCUGACUUGGUACAAGCAUUUUCUUAUGUAGAAAAUUGUGGAUUAAAUCUGGUUUAAAAGCUGGGCCAUAUGAGGGGCCAAAUAAAACCUUUGGAACCGCGACUUGAAUAAAUUACAUGACGUCAUAAAAAAUGAUGAAGUCUGCAACCGGGCUGAUAUCGAUAGCAUCAAAGAAGGCCGAUAUAACAUGAGAUUGCAAUUGAUUUCAUUAAACCUAUAAUUAUCUAUUUAUUUCUAGGUGUAUAAUAUAAUACUGCCGUUUCAUUGUUUAGAAUAAGAAAUGAAAUAAAAUUAGCAAAAACUAUCAUUACGCGUAUAUAUAGCUUUGUGAGAGUUGUUCGGUUUUGAGAAUGACGUCAAGAUCAUGAGGGUGGUAAUGAGUGUACUUUCAUUACGAAUAAUGGUAAAAAAAUGUCUUGCCAAAUGACGUUUACGGUUAACACAUUACCGAAUUAUGAAAAUAUUAACUGAUGUAAAUAUGUGAUUACCCUUUCUCUUUUUUAAUGCUUAUAUUAUAU
rnacentral:lncRNA from 1 species